rnacentral:rRNA from 1 species
UACAGAGGGUGCAAGCGUUGUUCGGAAUUAUUGGGCGUAAAGCGCGUGUAGGCGGCUUUGCAAGUCGGGUGUGAAAGCCCUCAGCUUAACUGAGGAAGUGCGCCCCGAAACUGCAGAGCUUGAAUACCGGAGAGGAUGGCGGAAUUCCCCAAGUAGAGGUGAAAUUCGUAGAUAUGGGGAGGAACACCGGUGGCGAAGGCGGCCAUCUGGACGGCUAUUGACGCUGAGACGCGAAAGCGUGGGGAGCAACGGG